UGGCCGAGUUUUUAAGGGCGCACGGUGGAUGCCUUGGCACCAGGAACCGAUGAAGGACGUGGGAGGCCACGAUAGUCCCCGGGGAGCCGUCAACCAGGCUUUGAUCCGGGGGUUUCCGAAUGGGGAAACCCGG
rnacentral:rRNA from 1 species